rnacentral:rRNA from 1 species
AACGAACGCUGGCGGCAUGCCUUACACAUGCAAGUCGAACGGCAGCACGGGAGCAAUCCUGGUGGCGAGUGGCGAACGGGUGAGUAAUAUAUCGGAACGUGCCCAGUCGUGGGGAUAACGUAGCGAAAGCUACGCUAAUACCGCAUACGAUCUAUGGAUGAAAGCGGGGGAUCGCAAGACCUCGCGCGAUUGGAGCGGCCGAUAUCAGAUUAGGUAGUUGGUGAGGUAAAGGCUCACCAAGCCGACGAUCUGUAGCUGGUCUGAGAGGACGACCAGCCACACUGGGACUGAGACACGGCCCAGACUCCUACGGGAGGCAGCAGUGGGGAAUUUUGGACAAUGGGCGCAAGCCUGAUCCAGCAAUGCCGCGUGCAGGAUGAAGGCCU